rnacentral:rRNA from 1 species
GGUGAACGCUGGCGGCGUGGAUGAGGCAUGCAAGUCGAAUGGGUUUAGACCCAUGGCAGACGAGGUAGGAACACGUAGGUACGUACCCCAAAGUCAGGGAUAACCUGGAGAAAUCCAGAAUAAUACUUGAUAGUCUCGAAAGAGUAAAGAUUUAUCGCUUUGGGAACGGCCUGCGGGCUAUCAGCUUGAUGGUAAGGUAACGGCUUACCAUGGCUACGACGGCUAGGGGAGGUGAGAGCCUGACCCCCACCGAUGGAACUGCGACACGGUCCAUACUCCUACGGGAGGCCGCAGUCGAGAAUCUUCCGCAAUGGACGAAAGUCUGACGGAGCGACGCCGCGUGGUGGAUGAAGUCCUUAGGGACGUAAACACCUUUUAUGAGUGAAGAAGUUUAUUGACAUUAGCUCAUGAAUAAGGGGCUCCCAAUUCUG